AGAGUUGAUCAGUGGCUCAGGACGAACGCUGGCGGCGUGCCUAACACAUGCAAGUCGAGCGAGGAGAUUCCUUCGGGAUGAUCCUAGCGGCGGACGGGUGAGUAACACGUGGGCAACCUGCCUCAUAGAGAGGAAUAGCCUUCCGAAAGGGAGAUUAAUACCUCAUAACAUUGCAGUUUCGCAUGGAACAGCAAUUAAAGGAGUAAUCCGCUAUGAGAUGGGCCCCGCGGCGCAUUAGCUAGUUGGUGAGGUAACGGCUCACCAAGGCGACGAUGCGUAGCCGACCUGAGAGGGUGAUCGGCCACAUUGGGACUGAGACAUGGCCCAGACUCCUACGGGAGGCAGCAGUGGGGAAUAUUGCACAAUGGGGGAAACCCUGAUGCAGCAACGCCGCGUGAGUGAUGACGGCCUUCGGGUUGUAAAGCUCUGUCUUCAGGGACGAUAAUGACGGUACCUGAGGAGGAAGCCACGGCUAACUACGUGCCAGCCGCCGC
rnacentral:rRNA from 1 species